GCCUCGGUGGCCAAGUGGUUACGGCGAUUGCCUCGUAAGCAAUAGAUCGCGGGUUCGAGUCCCGCCCGAGGCU
rnacentral:tRNA from 1 species